rnacentral:rRNA from 1 species
GGUUUAAUUCGAUGAUACGCGAGGAACCUUACCCGGGCUUGAAUUGCAGAGGAAGGAUUUGGAGACAAUGACGCCCCUUCGGGGUCUCUGUGAAGGUGCUGCAUGGUUGUCGUCAGCUCGUGCCGUGAGGUGUCGGCUUAAGUGCCAUAACGAGCGCAACCCCUCUCCUUAGUUGCCAUCAGGUUAAGCUGGGCACUCUGGGGACACUGCCACCGUAAGGUGUGA